rnacentral:rRNA from 1 species
AUUGAACGCUGGCGGCAUGCCUAACACAUGCAAGUCGAACGGCAGCGGACCUUCGGGUGCCGGCGAGUGGCGAACGGGUGAGUAAUAUAUCGGAACGUACCUUUCAGUGGGGGAUAACGUAGCGAAAGUUACGCUAAUACCGCAUAUUCUGUGAGCAGGAAAGCAGGGGAUCGCAAGACCUUGCGCUGAUUGAGCGGCCGAUAUCAGAUUAGCUAGUUGGUGAGGUAAAGGCUCACCAAGGCGACGAUCUGUAGCGGGUCUGAGAGGAUGAUCCGCCACACUGGAACUGAGACACGGUCCAGACUCCUACGGGAGGCAGCAGUGGGGAAUUUUGGACAAUGGGCGCAAGCCUGAUCCAGCCAUGCCGCGUGAGUGAAGAAGGCCUCGGGUUGU